rnacentral:rRNA from 1 species
AUUGAACGCUGGCGGCAUGCCUUACACAUGCAAGUCGAACGGUAACGGGUCCUUCGGGAUGCCGACGAGUGGCGAACGGGUGAGUAAUAUAUCGGAACGUGCCCAGUAGUGGGGGAUAACUGCUCGAAAGAGUGGCUAAUACCGCAUGAGAUCUACGGAUGAAAGCAGGGGAUCGCAAGACCUUGUGCUACUAGAGCGGCCGAUGGCAGAUUAGGUAGUUGGUGGGAUAAAAGCUUACCAGGCCGACGAUCUGUAGCUGGUCUGAGAGGACGAUCAGCCACACUGGGACUGAGACACGGCCCAGACUCCUACGGGAGGCAGCAGUGGGGAAUUUUGGACAAUGGGCGCAAGCCUGAUCCAGCAAUGCCGCGUGCAGGAUGAAGGCCUUCGGGUUGUAAACUGCUUUUGUACGGAACGAAAAGCCCUGGGUUAAUACCCUGGGGUCAUGACGGUACCGUAAGAAUAAGCACCGGCUAACUACGUGCCAGCCGCCGCGGUAA